UAGGGAAUCUUCGGCAAUGGACGAAAGUCUGACCGAGCAACGCCGCGUGAGUGAAGAAGGUUUUCGGAUCGUAAAACUCUGUUGUUAGAGAAGAACAAGGACGUUAGUAACUGAACGUCCCCUGACGGUAUCUAACCAGAAAGCCACGGCUAACUACGUGCCAGCAGCCGCGGUAAUACGUAGGUGGCAAGCGUUGUCCGGAUUUAUUGGGCGUAAAGCGAGCGCAGGCGGUUUCUUAAGUCUGAUGUGAAAGCCCCCGGCUCAACCGGGGAGGGUCAUUGGAAACUGGGAGACUUGAGUGCAGAAGAGGGAAGUGGAAUUCCAUGUGUAGCGGUGAAAUGCGUAGAUAUAUGGGGGAACACCAGUGGCGAAGGCGGCUCUCUGGUCUGUAACUGACGCUGAGGCUCGAAAGCGUGGGGAGCAAACAGG
rnacentral:rRNA from 1 species